rnacentral:tRNA from 1 species
CGCGGGGUAGAGCAGUUGGCAGCUCGUCGGGCUCAUAACCCGGAGGCCGCAGGUUCGAGUCCUGCUCCCGCUA